UACAGAGGGUGCAAGCGUUAAUCGGAAUUACUGGGCGUAAAGCGCGCGUAGGUGGUUCGUUAAGUUGGAUGUGAAAGCCCCGGGCUCAACCUGGGAACUGCAUCCAAAACUGGCGAGCUAGAGUAUGGUAGAGGGUGGUGGAAUUUCCUGUGUAGCGGUGAAAUGCGUAGAUAUAGGAAGGAACACCAGUGGCGAAGGCGACCACCUGGACUGAUACUGACACUGAGGUGCGAAAGCGUGGGGAGCAAAC
rnacentral:rRNA from 2 species